CAGUAAUCUAUUAAAAAAAAGUAUAUAUAAAUUCUUUUAUUUUACAGAUGCAGGAGAGAAGCAACCCCCAAGAUAUCAUAAUGAUAGACUUAACAAAAGAUGUAGAAAAAGAUCCUUACUGUAUGAUAGACUUAACAAAAGAUGACGAAAAAGAUCCUUACUGUCUUGAUUUAACCAACAUGAGUCAGCCCAGAGGGAGUCAAAAUGUAGACGCGAAACCAUCAUUAGUAAGUACAUCUUGAUUUUUGGUAAUAAGUAAUAAAAAGAAAGGAGAAAAAAACCAGAUUCAUCCAAUAAACAAAUAAUUGUAAAGCAAAUAAAAA